rnacentral:ncRNA from 1 species
GGGAUGAACCGGAAGCCGGGUUACGGUGCCCAACUGCGCGCUAACCUAGAACCCACAAAGGGUGUUGGUCGAUUAAGACAGCAGGACGGUGGUCAUGGAAGUCGAAAUCCGCUAAGGAGUGUGUAACAACUCACCUAGCGAAUCAACUAGCCCCGAAAAUGGAUGGCGCUGAAGCGCGCGACCGACACCCGGCCAUCUGGGCGAGCGCCAUGCCCC